rnacentral:rRNA from 1 species
UACGGAGGGUGCGAGCGUUGUCCGGAAUCAUUGGGCGUAAAGGGCGCGUAGGUGGCCCGCUAAGCGUGCGGUGAAAGCUCGGGGCUCAACCCCGAGUCGGCCGUGCGAACUGGUGGGCUUGAGCACUGUAGAGGCAGGCGGAAUUCCGGGUGUAGCGGUGGAAUGCGUAGAUAUCUGGAGGAACACCGGUGGCGAAGGCGGCAUUCUGGACCGAUAUUGACGCUGAGGAGCGAAAGCCAGGGGAGCAAACGGG